rnacentral:rRNA from 1 species
UGGGGAAUCUUCCGCAAUGGACGAAAGUCUGACGGAGCAACGCCGCGUGAGUGAUGAAGGUCUUCGGAUUGUAAAGCUCUGUUAAUCGGGACGAAAGAGUUCUGUGUAAAUAAUGCAGAAAAGUGACGGUACCGGAAUAGAAAGCCACGGCUAACUACGUGCCAGCAGCCGCGGUAAUACGUAGGUGGCAAGCGUUGUCCGGAAUUAUUGGGCGUAAAGCGCGCGCAGGCGGCCUAUCCAGUCUGUCUUAAAAGUUCGGGGCUCAACCCCGUGAUGGGAUGGAAACUAGUAGGCUAGAGUAUCGGAGAGGAAAGCGGAAUUCCUAGUGUAGCGGUGAAAUGCGUAGAUAUUAGGAAGAACACCAGUGGCGAAGGCGGCUUUCUGGACGAAAACUGACGCUGAGGCGCGAAAGCCAGGGGAGCGAACGGGAUUAGAUACCCCGGUAGUCCUGGCCGUAAACGAUGGGUACUAGGUGUAGGAGGUAUCGACCCCUUCUGUGCCGGAGUUAACGCAAUAAGUACCCCGCCUGGGGAGUACGGUCGCAAGGCUG